rnacentral:rRNA from 2 species
AACUUCUGAAUGUUGACCUCGGAUCAGGUAGGAAUACCCGCUGAACUUAAGCAUAUCAAUAAGCGGAGGAAAAGAAACCAACAGGGAUUGCCCUAGUAACGGCGAGUGAAGCGGCAACAGCUCAAAUUUGAAAUCUGGCUUUCGGGCCCGAGUUGUAAUUUGUAGAGGAUGAUUUUGAUGCGGUGCCUUCCGAGUUCCCUGGAACGGGACGCCAUAGAGGGUGAGAGCCCCGUCUGGUUGGAUGCCAAAUCUCUGUAAAUCUCCUUCGACGAGUCGAGUAGUUUGGGAAUGCUGCUCUAAAUGGGAGGUAUAUGUCUUCUAAAGCUAAAUACCGGCCAGAGACCGAUAGCGCACAAGUAGAGUGAUCGAAAGAUGAAAAGCACUUUGAAAAGAGAGUUAAAAAGUACGUGAAAUUGUUGAAAGGGAAGCGUUUAUGACCAGACUUGGGCUUGGUUAAUCAUCUGGGGUUCUCCCCAGUGCACUUUUCCAGUCCAGGCCAGCAUCAGUUUUCGCCGGGGGAUAAAGGCUUCGGGAAUGUGGCUCCCCUCGGGGAGUGUUAUAGCCCGUUGUGUAAUACCCUGGUGGGGACUGAGGUUCGCGCUUCUGCAAGGAUGCUGGCGUAAUGGUCAUCAACGACCCGUCU